rnacentral:rRNA from 1 species
AUUGAACGCUGGCGGCAUGCCUUACACAUGCAAGUCGAACGGCAGCACGGGGCAACCUGGUGGCGAGUGGCGAACGGGUGAGUAAUGCAUCGGAACGUACCUUUCAGUGGGGGAUAACGUAGCGAAAGUUACGCUAAUACCGCAUAUUCUGUGAGCAGGAAAGCAGGGGAUCGCAAGACCUUGCGCUGAUUGAGCGGCCGAUGUCAGAUUAGCUAGUUGGUGAGGUAAAGGCUCACCAAGGCGACGAUCUGUAGCGGGUCGGAGAGGAUGAUCAGCCACACGGGAACUGAGAAACGGUCCAGACUCCUACGGGAGGCAGCAGUGGGGAAUUUUGGACAGUGGGGGCAACCCUGAUCCAGCCAUGCCGCGUGAGUGAAGAAGGCCUUCGGGUUGUAAAGCUCUUUCGGCCGGGAAGAAAUCGCACGGGCUAAUACCCUGUGUGGAUGACGGUACCGGAAUAAGAAGCACCGGCUAACUACGUGCCAGCAGCCGCCGUAAAAC